ensembl:lncRNA
GGAGGAGGGAGAGGUGGAGUGAGACAGAUAAAGGUAUAGGAGGUGAGGAGGAGGGAGUGGUGGAGUGAGACAGAGAUAAUGGUAUAGGAGGAAAAGAGGAGGGAGAGGUGGAGUGAGACAGAGAUAAUGGUAUAGGAGGAAAAGAGGAGGGAGAGGUGGAGUGAGACAGAGAUAAUGGUAUAGGAGGAGGGAGAGGUGGAGUGAAACAGAGAUAAUGGUAUAGGAGGAGGGAGAGAUGGAGUGAGACAGAGAUAAUGGUAUAGGUGGUGAGGAGGAGGGAGAAUGAGAGGUGUAGUGAGACAGAUAUAAAGGUAUAGGAGGAGGGAGAGGUGGACUGAGACAGAGAUAAUGGUAUAGGAGGUGAGGGAGAGGGCAAGGUGCAGUGAGACAGAGAUAAUGGUAGAGGAGGGGAGGAGGGAGAGGUGGAGUGAGACAGAGAUAAUGGUAUAGGAGGUGAGGAGAGAUGGAGGGAGACAGAGAUAAAGGCAUAGGAGGUGAGGAGGAGGGAGAGGUGGAGUGAGACAGAGAUAAAGGCAUAGGAGGUGAGGAGGAGGGAGAGGUGGAGUGAGACAGAGAUAAAGGUAUAGGAGGUGAGGAGGAGGGAGAGGUGGAGUGAGACAGAGAUAAAGGUAUAGGAGGUGAGGAGGAGGGAGAGGUGGAGUGAGACAGAGAUAAAGGUAUAGGAGAUGAGGGAGAGGUGGAGUGAGACAGAGAUAAAGGUAUAGGAGGUAAGGGAUUGGGAGUGGUGGAGUGAGACAGAGAUAAAGGUAUAGGAGGUGAAGAGGUGGAGUGAGACAGAUAUAAAGGUAUAGGAGGUGAGGAGGAGGGAGUGGUGGAGUGAGACAGAGAUAUUGGUAGAGGAGGAGGGAGAGGUGGACUGAGACAGAGAUAAUGGUAUAGGAGGUGAGGAGGAGGGAGUGGUGGAGUGAGACAGAGAUAAAGGUAUAGGAGGUGAGGA